rnacentral:piRNA from 1 species
AUUGGACAAUUUGGAGCUGCUGUCUUCACC